GUUUAGUUCUAUUAAAUUUUACUUUGUAAGACUAUAUUGAUAGAUGUGAUGGAAUUCAAAAGAAAAGAUGUGAAAAAGGGCCAAAAUGAAAGAAAAUGAAAGUACAAGGACUAAAGUGCAAAUAAUCAAAAGUUGACUCGAAAGGCGAAUUGAAAAUGUAAAUGAGCUAAGUAUCAACUUGGGGAUAAUUUGAGAUGAUAGAAGGACAAAAAUAAAGACGAAAGACUAAGAUAGAAAAGAAUGAAAGUUCAGAGACCAAAAUGUAUAUAAGUCGAAAGAUUCUCCGAAGGAAGAAUCGAGGAAUUGGACGAACCAAAUAUUAAUUCAAGGCUAUUUUGGAUUGAUGGAAAGAGGAGAAUCGAGAAAAGAGGCAAAGAUAUGAAUAAAUAAAGUCGAAGACCAAAACGGCAUAAUCUGGAAGUUGCCUUAACUAUGCAGUCACAUGGCAUAAAAUUCCAUGCGGUCGCGUACAUUGCAACAGGGAUUUCAAGGGAGAUUUUUGUUAUAACUAUGCAGUUGAAUAGCUAUACUCCGGGGCAAAUUCUGCAGUUUCCUUUUCUCGUUAAAACUAUUAUGAAACCUAGUUCGGAAGCGUAUAUAAAACCAAAAGCUGUCAAAUUAAGGAGAGAACACAUUGGGAAGGAAAAAAACAUAUUGGAGAGAAUUUGGAGCCACAACAACAAAGACAAACACAAAGACCGAUGGGAUCUCAUGCAAUUAUUUAAUCCGGUGAUGUUAUUUCUUCAAGUUAUUAUGUAUUUUGUAAUUUUCUCCAUGCUAGGCUAGAAAUUCUUGUACUAUGAGAUCGAUGAAACUUGUAAUGUAAUUUUUGAUUCCUUGUUCUAUGUUUUUUUUAUAUUAAAACACGUAUUGAACAUUUUGAAUGGUUUAUAUACAUUUAAUUUCUUCCAUAAUUAUUGGGCCCGUAAUUGUGUGAGUGUGGUGAUCUAUUUCUUACAUUCGAGAGGAGGGGAAUAUGUUCGAUAAUGUAUAAAUCAUCAUAGAGUACAAUAGAGGAUAGAGAUAUACCGUUGCGCUCUACGUGAAUCUUUAAGUGCUCACAAAACUAUAUGCAUUCUUAUAUAUUUGCACCCGUUCCGAUGGUAUAUGAGAG
rnacentral:lncRNA from 1 species